rnacentral:tRNA from 2 species
AGGGAUGUGGCUCACUGGUAGAUUGUUUGCCUCACGUGCAGGAAGCCCUGGGUUCAAUCCCCAGCACCACAA